rnacentral:lncRNA from 1 species
UGUGUAUCCCCAUUGUCUUCCAUACAUUCCAUUUCUUCCCCUUUCUUCAGCCUCAUGAAACUUAUAUUUCGACAUAUAAUGCUUCCUGUAUUUAAUCAAACUUGGUAUUUUCUAUUUUUUCCUUUUCAAUAAUCCGUCCAAUCAUCGAUUAUUCUUGUAAUUUUGCAGUAUCACCUACACUCCUAUUUUCAACUCCGGUAAAUCCCUCUUAUUAUUAUUAUAACGGAUUUUCUCCUUCUCCCUUGGAUCCUCCAUUCUCCUCAAACAGUCUUUCUGUUCUUUUUCGGAUCUUGGACCAUAGCUCUUCCUAUGAAUAGGUAAACACGAUCUUACCAAAUAAGAUCUCAUUUGUUGAUCUUCCAUCUGCCUUUGGAGUGUUUCCAGGAUUCCAUAUAAGAAUCCAUCAGAUCUACAUUUUCCUCCGGUUUUCUCUAAUAGAUUCUUAGAUAAUAGAAACUCAGAGCAUGUCCAUUACUUUGCAAAAAAUGAGGUGAAGAAGGUCCACAUAUUACUCCCCACAUCUUCAAGAAUGUCUAAAAUUUCCUGGAAUUAAACUGAUGGCCUUGAUCUGUUCUUAUUUUCAGUGGAAUCCCAGUUUCAGAAAAUAUUUUCCUUAAUGUCACUAUUACUUCUCCCGAAGAUGGAACUCUUUUGAAUUCCUCUACAUAAGGAUAUCCUGAAAAAAUGCAGACGUGCUCUCAAGUGGCCUCAUUCGUAUUGGGUCCCUCAUCAUCGUUUCUUCUAGUAAACUAGGCCAAUAAAUCGUCUGCCUAGCUCUUCUUUUCGUCUUCUCGAUACCUCGAUGUGAACUGUACAAUCCCUGAAGAACUUGAACUUGCCUCUUUUUUGGAAUUACCAGCCUAUUACCAUAUUAAACAAGACCAUUUUCAAUAAUUAAAUCAUUUAAUAUCUUGAAAAUGGUUGUACUGAAUCGUUUAUACAAUUGUCUUUACUGCAUUAACUAAAUCUUUAUAUGUUUGAUCUUUCAUUUCCUCUUUUCUAAUAUCUUUUAUUAAUGGAUCAACGAAUUUUUCUUCAUCUUCUAAAUGAGUAGCUCUGAUAACUUGUCCUCUAUUAUAUUCAAUAUCUCUAUCCAGCUCUUUAUUUUUUCUCGGGAUGAGACACCGGUGAUCUCGAUCAUGCAUCUGGUACUUAAUGAUAUUUCUCCUUUAUCAAUUUCGUUUCAAAUUGAUAUUUUGAAUUUAAAUCUAAUUAGUCAAACAAUAUCUAGCUUAUCUAUGGUGUAAUUAUUAAGAAUAGGAACAAGAAGGUUAUGAUCCGUAAUUACAACAAAUGUAGGUACGCCUGCUAGAUAUAUUUGACAUUUCUUUAUGGCCCACAAUACACCUGAACAUUAUAAUUCUAUCAUGGAGUAUCUUGGUUCAGCACUUGAUAAAAAUCGGGAGCCACAUUGAAUUAAUUUCCAUUCUUCAUUGUGCUUUUGACAUAAUACAUAUCCCAAUCCAUUUAUUUUCGAUGCUUCAGUUUCAAAAGUGUGGUUUUUAAUCUUGGAUCGAACGGUGCUAAUGUUGGUGAUGAAGUUAAAAUUUCUUUAAUUUCCUUCCUUCAUAAAGAAUGAUUGUUGUUUUGAGGAUAAAAGCUCUACCAGUGGACUUACAACUUCAUUCAUUCUUGAUGAUGGCUCUGCAAAAUCUCUAAUAGCAUUCAAUUUACUUGGAUCCGCUUCAAUACUCUUUUUGGAUAAAAUAUAACCACAAUAUUUUAAUUUAGGUUGUGCGAUGUUAUUUUGUGUUCUCUACAUCUUUGUAGGGUUCUACGGACAUUCUUAAUAUGGUUUUCGAUAUUUUGUGAUACAGUGAGAAUGUCAUCUACGACUUUGUAAGUGUUUGAUAAACCUUCCAAUGCAUCAUGUCCACAAAAACAAUAUGCGUCCCCCCCCGUUGCUAUGAAUUCCAUCGGAGCUCUAUUUAAAAAAUCUAUACCCAAGGAGUUAUAAAACACUUCAUUUCCCUUGAUUUUUCUUCCAGUUCCAUCUGCCAAUAUCCUUGUUUUGCAUCCAAUGUUGUAAAAAAGACUCAACGUUUGUUGGAAUACUUGAUAUUAUGUCCCAAUGUAUUCUCAUGGGAUGGAUUAACCUCCCAACUUGAUCAUUCAAUUUCUUAAGAUCCCCACUCAAUAUUCUCACUUUUCUACUAGGUUUGGGUACAACUACUAAUGGAUGGCACCAAUCUACUGCUUUAUCACCGACUUUACUUAUUAUUUUCAUUUUAUUAAUUUCUUUCUUCACUUCUUCUCAAUAGGUAAAUGGUAGGUUUAUUGCAGUAUGAAUUGUGUAUGGUUGGUAAUCUUCUUUAAGACUAUUCUUCAUUGGUUGCCGCUCCAUAAUUUUCAAUCCUUCCUCAUUACAAAAUACAUCUCUAAAUUCUUCCAUCAAUUCUUUUUUUAUAUAUAUAAUCAGCAUCUCUCGUUUCUUCACAGAUUGCACUGCAGCAACACACAUUUGUUUUGGAAAAUCCUUCGAUAUGAUUCGCAGUUCUCUACACACUCGUCUAGACAAGAUUAUUUAAGGAAUAUAUCGACAUAUAAUAAUUAUAUUUUCUUCACUUUUUACUUAAUUUAACGCUAAAGUAAUUCUUAACUUUCCAAUAAUUUCUAAUUACGAUCCAUCAACACCUGAAAUAUUCUCUUCUUCGUACUUUUUCCCAAUUAUCUUAUUUAAUCCCAUCUUCUGAACAAACUCUAUUCCUGCUACAGUAACUUCUGCUCCUGUAUCGGGAACUGCUUUAAUUUGACCAAUAAUCUUUCUUUCACAAAUAACAUCCAGUAACACCAUUCGAUUAUUUUUAUCUUCUUUAAUCCCAUUUAUUCUUACUGAAUGAGAUUUGAAAAAUACUCUCUUUGAUUUGCACAUUAAUUUAAAAUGACCUAUUUUUAGACACUGAUUACAUUUCUUCUCAUAUGCAGGACACUUUUCUCCAUUUCUAUGAUAAUUUCUUCUAAAAUAAGAACAUCUUUAACCUUCUC